CACAGAGGCAGCUCAGCCUUGAUAUGAAGACAUGGUCUCCAUGGGAGAAAAUUAAGGUUAUGCUACUGGGGAUGGAGCAGAGAGUGGAGGAGUGAAAUGGGCUGAGCUCCUACUGAACCUUGUUCACUACCAGGCUUGGGACUGUCAGCAGAAGAUGGAAUUUGAUGGGCUGGGUGAACUGCAUGAGUGGAGUCUAGAAAGAGGGGUGAGAAAAGGAGGAUCCAUGAGCCCCCCACUCAUAUGCCCCUCUCCAUGUCCCCUUCACCAGAAACGUACUCACCAGAGGCCAGCGUUUGGACUGUGGAAGGGGUCUGGCUGUGCCUGGAGAGUUCUGGGAAGAUCAUGCCUUGGACGAUGCCACCAGGUCUGAGUUUGACUGAGCCUGAGAUGUGGCGAGGACCGCUGGCCAAGGUGGCCCUUGGACUUCUCUUGUGCACUCAGCUCUGUCCUGCUGACAACAGUUUGGAACACUUAAGCAUUCCCUGGUGAACUACCAUCCAUGUGUCUUGUGAAAAUCAUUAUGAAAAUGAAAAGUGCAUCUCACAGACUUAAUCAGCUUAGUCCUUUCUCUAAGGGAAUAUCUUCACCUUUUGUUUCUAAACUGAGUAUUGCUCCACUGACAAAAGCCUCAGCACAAUCUGGCUUCUCAAAGUAUUUUUCAGAGAGUUUUUCCACAAGUCUUCUCAGACUGAAACCUACACCAUGGUUCCAUCUAAAGGCCACCCUCAAUCCUUCCCCGUGAACAAGAAGUGUUGAUGGAGAGUUCAUUCCCAAUUACAGUUCUUUUGUAGAAGCUUGUGAAAAGUAGGUAUUUCUUGGGCUGAUGGGACUGAUAGGGCAGGAGAAUUCAUGAUGAUUCCAUUACGUGGACAGGACAUGUUAAGACAGUACCUGAGCAUAAUGACCCCACAAUGAAAAACUUUUCUUCCCAACUUGCCUACCAAGGCCACUGCAGACUCAAGGUGGAAAGCAAGCAACUGGGGAGUCUGGACUCCAGUACAGGUUUAAAUUUAAAUGUGUAUGACAUCACAUAAGUGAUUUUUGUAACGUGAGAGCCUGAUGGCAUGUGUCCACAGGGAAGAAGAAAGGAUUUUCUCCUCAGAUAUUCCAUUAAUCAAGGAUGCAGAACAAGAUGCUGCCAUAGGAAACUUUAGAAGAAGCUGGAGAGUCCACAGCAGUCUGCUGAAUCCAGCAAGGGAGCGGUUCCACUCCUCUGAGAUUGCCAAGACUAAGUGGACUAGAAAAGCUCUCCUCCCAAAGUUAUAUUUUACUCUCUUUCCUUUGAUAUUAGAAGCCAAAAAUGCUCCUGUUGAUUGUAGAAGGACACUUCAAGAUUUUAUUGAGUAUGUUUUUCUUCACUGAAAUUUCAAGUGAGGUGUCCCGAGAGAAGCUUUAGGAAGGGUGUUUUCUGGUUUUGUUUUUCUUUUUAAUCUUUUCGAUGCUUUAAACUGGGACUUUUACUGGCAAACAUGGGAAAUGAAAGGUUCUUAUUCAGAAGAGUGCCUGAGGCAAAGAGCAUUAGAAAUACCAUAUACAUUAAUAAAGAGCUGAUAAUUGAACUGUAGUAUUGAAUAGCUGCAGAAGCCCAGCACAUACUUACAUAAACUGCCUGUUUGUGUGGCAUGGUGUGUUAAGACAUGUCUGGAUAUCUGGUAUGCAAGCUUAAUGUAUGAACUGUUCUUUAAAUUGCUGAUUAUAUCCUUAGGCAGGUUUUAGUGAAUUAAAUUAAUAGGACUUGUUGAUUGGUAAAAAAUAAUCACAAAUCCUAGUUUCCACAGUACUGUCUAACAUAAAUAUUUGCCUUAAAGGUAGCAAGUUUUAAAUGAGCGAGUUAAUAUAAAGUAUAAUAUGAACAAAAUUAGCAAAUCUAAUUUAGCAUUAAAACACUUCUGAGAAAAUUAAACCUCAUUUGUGCUCACACUAACAAGGGGAAGCCAGAUUUUAUCAGACAUACAGCAGGUCAUAACAGAAGAAAUAUCAACUUCUCAUCCCAAACCCGGUUCUCAUUCUUCUGAAAAGACACUUUCUUUACAAUCAAGUAAGAUCAAUACCUAGAUUUAUCAGAAUGACACAUUUAAACAAGGCACAAAACUCUGCAACAGAAGCUAAUGAAUACUGACUGCCAGAGGAAUUUUUAAUGAUUCAUUUCUCUCUGGGCAGGUGAGAGAGGUUGUGAUUAAUUCUAGUUUUUCCUUAUCUGUCUUGUAACAGAUCAAGUAUAAGAAAGUGACCCAGUGUUACCUGCUCUACCUUAAAAAAAAAAAAAAAAGCAGAAAAAAAAGCCAUAUAUAUUCUCUAUUAGCCUUACUGGAUGAUAAACAAGAAGAAAUAAUUCAGAUGUGGCAAGUGCUAACUUAACUGCUGUUUUUCUGUGAAAUUUAAAGACAGGACUUUAGGAAAGGCCAUGUAAUAUAUCUCUGCUGAAUCUAUCAGACCAAUCUUAAUGAUGAAACUAGCUUUGCAUGUCUGCAAUGUAACAGAUCUGAUUUCUGGUUAUAACACUGCAGAGUUUCCAGCACUUGGGUUCUAAAAGACAUAAUCAAAAUGUUUCAUGAAGUGUAACUUGCACAACUCUGCUUCCUUAAUAAUUAAAGACGUCAGACUCGGUGCACAUGCUCUAGCAGGAAUGAUGCCACUCAGAAAUAAAUUGCAUGUCUGCUUAAGAUUCUUCCCCAGCAAUAUUAGAAUCUGACCAGUAAAAUGAUACAAACUAGAUUUGCCACAGUGCUAAUUUAUAUUGCUAUUAAUGAGAACACAAGUUUUAAAUCAGACACAGAAGUACUGUUGUGCAUCCAGCUUAUUUGAGCUCCAGUCAGGGUGAUAAGGCAUUCUCUAGACAAUUGUAAUUAUGAGUAAUUUGUAAAAGUAAUAAGUACUGCUUUUUAUUACAGGCAAUAAAAAUCAAUUCUUCAUUCAA